AUUGAACGCUGGCGGCAUGCCUUACACAUGCAAGUCGAACGGUAACAGGUUAAGCUGACGAGUGGCGAACGGGUGAGUAAUGUAUCGGAACGUGCCCAGUCGUGGGGGAUAACUGCUCGAAAGAGCAGCUAAUACCGCAUACGACCUGAGGGUGAAAGCGGGGGAUCGCAAGACCUCGCGCGAUUGGAGCGGCCGAUAUCAGAUUAGGUAGUUGGUGAGGUAAAGGCUCACCAAGCCGACGAUCUGUAGCUGGUCUGAGAGGACGACCAGCCACACUGGAACUGAGACACGGCCCAGACUCCUACGGGAGGCAGCAGUGGGGAAUUUUGGACAAUGGGCGCAAGCCUGAUCCAGCCAUGCCGCGUGCGGGAAGAAGGCCUUCGGAUUGUAAACCGCUUUUGUCAGGGAAGAAAAGGUUCUGGCUAAUACCUGGGACUCAUGACGGUACCUGAAGAAUAAGCACCGGCUAACUACGUG
rnacentral:rRNA from 1 species